rnacentral:rRNA from 1 species
CAGGAUGAACGCUAGCGACAGGCUAACACAUGCAAGUCGAGGGGCAGCAUAGAAGUAGACAAUACGUUGGUGGCGACCGGCGCGACGGGUGAGUAACGCGUAUGCAACCUACCUAUCAGGAGGGGAAUAACCGGCGAAAGUCGGACUAAUACCGCAUAAAACAGGGGCACCGCAUGGUGAUAUUUGUUAAAGAAAUUCGCUGAUAGAUGGGCAUGCGUUCCAUUAGGUAGUUGGUGAGGUAACGGCUCACCAAGCCGACGAUGGAUAGGGGAACUGAGAGGUUGGUCCCCCACACUGGUACUGAGACACGGACCAGACUCCUACGGGAGGCAGUAGUGAGGAAUAUUGGUCAAUGGGCGGGAGCCUGAACCAGCCAAGUCGCGUGAAGGAAGAAGGAUCUAUGGUUCGUAAACUUCUUUUGCAGGGGAAUAAAGUGGGGGACGUGUCCUCCUUUGCAUGUACCUUGCGAAUAAGGAUCGGCUAACUCCGUGCCAGCAGCUGC